rnacentral:rRNA from 1 species
GACGACGCUGGCGGCGGGAUUAGGCAUGCAAGUCGAACGGUAUCAUCCUUUCGGGGGUGAGAGAGUGGCGAACUGGUGAGUAACACGUAGGUUAUCUACCCUCAAGACGGGGACAACCCAGGGAAACUUGGGCUAAUACCGGAUGUGAGCAACUUUUAGUUGUUUGAAAGGUGGCGUAAGCUGUCGCUUGGGGAUGAGCCUGCGUCCUAUUAGUUAGUUGGUGAGGUAACGGCUCACCUAGGCAAUGAUAGGUAGGCGGCCUUAACGGGUGGUCGCCCACACUGGGAUUGAGAUACGGCCCAGACUCCUACGGGAGGCAGCAGUCGAGAAUAGUCUACAAUGGUCGGAAGACUGAUAGUGCGACGCCGCGUGAACGAUGAAUCCCUUCGGGGUGUAAAGUUCUUUUAUAUGUGAGCAGUGCUUCUUAUAUUAACAGUAUGGGGAGAGAGAUAUUAGCAUAUGAAUAAGCAACGGCUAACUCCGUG